GUUGUACUCCCUCCGUUCGGAAUUACUCGUCCAAGAAAUGAAUGUAUCUAGUUGUGGAUACUUAGAUACAUUCAUUUCUUGGACGAGUAAUUCCGAACGGAGGGAGUACAUC
rfam:Triticum aestivum genome assembly, contig: Triticum_aestivum_CS42_TGACv1_scaffold_030710_1BL